rnacentral:rRNA from 1 species
AUUGAACGCUAGCGGCAUGCCUAACACAUGCAAGUCGAGCGAGCGGCGGACGGGUGAGUAAUGCCUAGGAAUGUGCCCGGUGGCGGGGGAUAACUACUGGAAACGGUAGCUAAUACCGCAUACUAUUGGAUGUGCCCAUAUGGGAUUAGCUAGUAGGUGGGGUAAAGGCUCACCUAGGCGACGAUCCCUAGCUGGUCUGAGAGGAGGACCAGCCACACUGGGACUGAGACACGGUCCAGACUCCUACGGGAGGCAGCAGUGGGGAAUAUUGCACAAUGGGCGCAAGCCUGAUCCAGCCAUGCCGCGUGUACGAAGAAGGCCUUCGGGUUGUAAAGUACUUUCAGCGGGGAGGCGUUACCUGCAGAAUAAGCACCGGCUAACUACGUGCCAGCAGCCGCGGUAAUAC